rnacentral:rRNA from 1 species
UACGUAGGGACCAAGCGUUGUCCGGAAUCAUUGGGCGUAAAGAGCGUGUAGGCGGCCUGUUAAGUCUUGCGUGAAAUCUCGGGGCUUAACCCCGAGCCUGCAGUGGAUACGGGCAGACUAGAGGUAGGUAGGGGAGAAUGGAAUUCCCGGUGUAGCGGUGAAAUGCGCAGAUAUCGGGAGGAACACCGGUGGCGAAGGCGGUUCUCUGGGCCUUACCUGACGCUGAGGAGCGAAAGCGUGGGGAGCGAACAGG